rnacentral:rRNA from 1 species
CCCGGGCCUCGUACACACCGCCCGUCACACCAUGGGAGUUGGUUUUACCCGAAGACGGUGCGCUAACCGCAAGGAGGCAGCCGGCCACGGUAAGGUCAGCGACUGGGGUG